GGCUGCCCUCGCCCGCCCCCGGGCAGGGGCGCGUCCUCCUGCCUGCGGCCCCCUUCUCUCGCGGGCCCUCGCAGGCGCUUUCCGUACAGCUGCCCCGGGAACCGCGCUGAGCCAGGUGAGCUGCAAAGGCUGACUUGGGAAAGGAACUGGUUUUAACCUGGGCGCACGUGCCGCUUCAGGUCCCCGCACGAACAGCCCUGCCACAGCGGCGCAGGAAACAGCGCGUGUCUGAGGGCGAGGAGAAAGCAGGACUGCCUUCUUCAGCAGCAGUCCUGGCUUAACGAGAGCCUCACGUUCAGACAGAAACCAAACAGCCCAAGGAAAAAGCAAAACAAAAAACCCAAAUCAGACCACCAGAUGCAGCAGAGGACACUCCCAGCAGAGCUCCAUAUGCAAAUCGGAUGUUCCACAUUAUUUGAACAACAUGAGGCAUCAAGUGUUAGGCAUUCUGAGAGUCAUUUGUUAUUGCAAGUAAGCUGUUCUACAAGGCUCUUCAGCAGAAAAAAAACCAUAUCUGUAGCAUGGCAGCAGAGUAAGAACUAA
rnacentral:lncRNA from 1 species